rnacentral:rRNA from 1 species
GACGUAGGGCGCGAGCGUUGUCCGGAUUUAUUGGGCGUAAAGAGCUCGUAGGCGGCUUGUCGCGUCGACUGUGAAAUCCCGCGGCUCAACUGCGGGUCUGCAGUCGAUACGGGCAGGCUAGAGUUCGGUAGGGGAGACUGGAAUUCCUGGUGUAGCGGUGAAAUGACGCAGAUAUCAGGAGGAACACCGAUGGCGAAGGCAGGUCUCUGGGCCGAUACUGACGUGAGGAGCGAAAGCGUGGGGAGCGAACAGG